UCCUUAAAAUGAAUUCGUCCCCGAAUUCACAAGUUACGCCGAACUUUCUGCAACCACCUUUUGUUGGCUACUUCAACUCUUCAUCGUCUUCUAGCUUCUUCGAUUCUACUUCGAUUAUUGAUAAUCUUCUUCCUCUCUUCUUCUUUUGCUUUGACUCUCCUUGAUAUCACCAUUUCUUUACUGCUUCAGCUUCCUCGAUC
rnacentral:lncRNA from 1 species